ACUGUAGAUUGAAAAGGCAAUGAAGUGCAAAUUAGAUCUCCCAGACUUUACAUCACUGAAUUACAUAGCAGCAGUUUCUUUAGGGACAUCAACUGAAGUUAAUAAUUGCUCCCAUGUCAUACUACAAUAAUAUUGAGAAUCUGAAAAACCAGGAUGUGUCAAUAUGUGAAAGGAUAAAUCAGUCAGCCAAACUAUGUUGAAGCAGUGAUGAAAGUGUACCAGGAGUGGAGGGACUGGUAGAGAUCCCAUCUAGCAAAUCCAUCAUCGGAGAGCUUCCAACUGAUGAGGUCCGUGAGGAGACUUGUGCCGGUGGCACAGUAGGCGAGGACAGACUAUCUAAUAGAUCCAGCGAACUCUUGUUGUCUUGACUGGAGGGCAACACCUCAACUGUAGAUGUGCUGCUGCUUUGAGCUGGAGGUGUUCCAAUUGACAGGAGGUCCAGCAGGAGAUCAGUCCCACUUUUCUGUACUUGAUUUGUACCUGAGAUGCAACAAGAGAGGGUAGAAUAGAGUAAAACUCGCAUUUUUCUUCCUAUUCCCUUCUUAUCAUUUCAUUUCCUUUUGUUUAUUUAGGUAGAGAGCAUGCUGAAUGGGUAAAAUGAUGUUAUUUUAACUCAAAAAAGAAGCAUGCCCACAAGGUAUACAGUCAUUAACUUGUAACUGCAUUGCAAAUAUAAGAGAGUAGCCAGUAACUAUCAUGUAAAUCCACUGAAGUAAAGGCUUACAAAAUUCACCUGGCUGUGAAGCAGCUGGUGAUAAAUCAACUCCAAGAAGAUCCUGAAGAAAGUCCCCACCAGAAGAGCUAGGUGCCGGGGUAUCAUCUGAACCAAGAUCAAGUAAAUCAACAAGAGGAGCAGCUGCUGGUUUGGCAACUCCAUUUGGAAGAGAAGGUCCUUGUGAAGUCGAAAUGCCUGGUGGAACAGAACCAGCCUUCCUUCCACUGUAAGUUGCUUCAUCCAGGACAGGCAUUCUUUCUAACAGCGUAGACCUGAAUACAAAACCCAGCAGCUUUCUAAGAUAAAGACACUACAAGCUAUAAUAAAACAAAAAGCAACCUUAUGGAAUCCAA